GGAGGGCGCGAGCGUUGUCCGGAAUUACUGGGCGUAAAGGGGGGCGCAGGCGGCUUGGGCAAGUCUUGUGUGAAAGGGCCACGGGCUCAACCGUGGACAUGCACUAGAUACUACCGAGCUUGAGACGGGUAGAGGCGAGUGGAAUUCCCGGUGUAGCGGUGGAAUGCGUAGAUAUCGGGAAGAACACCAGUGGCGAAGGCGACUCGCUGGGCCCGUUCUGACGCUCAGGCCCGAAAGCGUGGGGAGCAAACAGGAUUAGAUACCCUGGUAGUCCACGCCGUAAACGAUGGGCACUAGGUGCUGGGGAGUGUGACCUUUUCAGUGCCGUAGCUAACGCGUUAAGUGCCCCGCCUGGGGAGUACGGCCGCAAAGGCUG
rnacentral:rRNA from 1 species